ACGUAGGUGGCAAGCGUUGUCCGGAUUUAUUGGGCGUAAAGCGAGCGCAGGCGGUUCCUUAAGUCUGAUGUGAAAGCCCACGGCUCAACCGUGGAAGGUCAUUGGAAACUGGGGAACUUGAGUGCAGAAGAGGAGAGUGGAAUUCCAUGUGCAGCGGUGAAAUGCGUAGAUAUAUGGAGGAACACCAGAGGCGAAGGGGACGAUAUGGUCUGAAACUGACGAUGAGGCUCGAAAUUGUGUGGAGCAAUCAG
rnacentral:rRNA from 1 species